AGUGAACGCUGGCGGUAGGCCUAACACAUGCAAGUCGAACGGCAGCACAGUAAGAGCUUGCUCUUACGGGUGGCGAGUGGCGGACGGGUGAGGAAUACAUCGGAAUCUACUUUUUCGUGGGGGAUAACGUAGGGAAACUUAAGCUAAUACCGCAUACGACCUACGGGUGAAAGCAUGGGAUCUUCGGACCUUGCGCGAAUGAAUGAGCCGAUGUCGGGUUAGCUAGUUGGCGGGGUAAAGGCCCACCAAGUCGACGAUCCGUAGCUGGUCUGAGUGGAUGAUCAGCCACACUGGAACUGAGACACGGUCCAGACUCCUACGGGAGGCAGCAGUGGGGAAUAUUGGACAAUGGGCGCAAGCCUGAUCCAGCCAUACCGCGUGGGUGAAGAAGGCCUUCGGGUUGUAAAGCCCUUUUGUUGGGAAAGAAAAGCAGCAGGUUAAUACCCCGCUGUUCUGACGGUACCCAAAGAAUAAGCACCGGCUAACUUCGUG
rnacentral:rRNA from 1 species